rnacentral:rRNA from 1 species
CGAACGGGUGAGUAACGCGUGAGGAACCUGCCUCGAAGAGGGGGACAACAGUUGGAAACGACUGCUAAUACCGCAUAAGCCCACGGCUCGGCAUCGAGCAGAGGGAAAAGGAGCAAUCCGCUUUGAGAUGGCCUCGCGUCCGAUUAGCUAGUUGGUGAGGUAACGGCCCACCAAGGCGACGAUCGGUAGCCGGACUGGGAGGUUGAACGGCCACAUUGGGACUGAGACACGGCCCAG